rnacentral:rRNA from 1 species
GACGAACGCUGGCGGCGUGCCUAAUACAUGCAAGUUGAGCGCUGAAGGUUGGUACUUGUACCAACUGGAUGAGCAGCGAACGGGUGAGUAACGCGUGGGUAAUCUGCCUUUGAGCGGGGGACAACAUUUGGAAACGAAUGCUAAUACCGCAUAAAAACUUUAAACACAAGUUUUAAGUUUGAAAGAUGCAAUUGCAUCACUCAAAGAUGAUCCCGCGUUGUAUUAGCUAGUUGGUGAGGUAAAGGCUCUACAAGGCGAUGAUACAUAGCCGACCUGAGAGGGUGGUCGGCCACAAUGGGACUGGGACACGGCCCAAACUCCUACGGGAGGCAGCAGUAGGGAAUCUUCGGCAAUGGACGAAAGUCUGACCGAGCAACGCCGCGUGAGUGAAGAAGGUUUUCGGAUCGUAAAACUCUGUUGGUAGAGAAGAACGUUGGUGAGAGUGGAAAGCUCAUCAAGUGACGGUAACUACCCAGAAAGGGACGGCUAACUACGUG